CGAUUCCGACUUCAUGGAGUCGAGUUGCAGACUCCAAUCCGGACUACGAUAGGCUUUUUGAGAUUAGCAUCACAUCGCUGUGUAGCAACCCUCUGUACCUACCAUUGUAGCACGUGUGUAGCCCUGGUCGUAAGGGCCAUGAUGACUUGACGUCGUCCCCGCCUUCCUCCAGUUUGUCACUGGCAGUAUCCUUAAAGUUCCCGGCUUAACCCGCUGGCAAAUAAGGAAAAGGGUUGCGCUCGUUGCGGGACUUAACCCAACAUCUCACGACACGAGCUGACGACAGCCAUGCAGCACCUGUAUGUGAAUUCCCGAAGGCACUCCCGCAUCUCUGCAGGAUUCUCACUAUGUCAAGACCAGGUAAGGUUCUUCGCGUUCCCCCCGUGCCCCCGCCCCGCCCGGGGCGCGCCCCGGGCGG
rnacentral:rRNA from 1 species